ACGAAGCCACUCGGGUUAAUAGCCCAGAGGGUGACGGUACCUCCAGAAGAAGCCCCGGCUAACUACGUGCCAGCAGCCGCGGUAAUACGUAGGGGGCAAGCGUUGUCCGGAUUUAUUGGGCGUAAAGCGCGUGUAGGCGGCCAGGUAGGUCGGCUGUGAAAACUCGAGGCUCAACCUCGAGAUGUCGGCCGAAACCAUCUGGCUAGAGUCCGGAAGAGGAGAAUGGAAUUCCCGGUGUAGCGGUGAAAUGCGCAGAUAUCGGGAAGAACACCCGUGGCGAAGGCGGUUCUCUGGGACGGUACUGACGCUGAGACGCGAAAGCGUGGGGAGCGAACAGGAUUAGAUACCCUGGUAGUCCACGCCGUAAACGAUGGGAACUAGGUGUGGGCGGUGUCGACUCCGUCCGUGCCGAAGCUAACGCAUUAAGUUCCCCGCCUGGGGAGUACGGCCGCAAGGCUAAAACUCAAAGGAAUUGACGGGGGCCCGCACAAGCAGCGGAGCAUGUGGUUUAAUUCGACGCAACGCGAAGAACCUUACCAGGGCUUGACAUGCACUGGAAUGUCGUAGAAAUACGGCAGCCCUUCGGGGCCAGUGCACAGGUGGUGCAUGGCUGUCGUCAG
rnacentral:rRNA from 1 species